CAGGUACAAGAAAAAAACCUGUUGAGCUGUGCCUUUUCCUGCCACUGUCACACCCUCUGGCCUGAUGUGGACUGUGCCUGCUGCGAGCCAGGCAGCAACUGAAAAGCAUCAGGGAAUCACAUUACAUUAGAUUCUUCCAGCUUCAAGUAAUUAACUCAGCGCAUUUUAUAGAACUGGGAUGAUUUUGAAGAAACUCCAAUGGAAUAUAUAGACAAUUCCCUGGCAAUCAAGGAAAACUAUGCACAGGAAGGAUACAAGAAAAGGAGCAAAUCCAAGAAGAAAAAGAAAUGUUCAAGUAUGACUGAAGUGGUUUAGAAUACUACCCAGGUCCACUGUUGGAAACACUUCUGAAAGAGGCAGCUCUGGAAGCUGGUCACCUGAAGACAGUGAGAAAACGGAUGUGAGAAAGGAAGGACCUGAUCAUCCAUCAGACGGAAUCCAGACGUGACAAUUAGAGUUAAUGAACCACGACCCAUGAAGCUGCCUCAGCACCUUUUUACAACCCCACUUCAUGGCCUUAAUAAAACUACCAGGGCUUAUUUUACAGAGCACAUCUGCUCUAAAUUCUCAAAGGAGAAACUUUGCAUUCAGAAGUUAUGUUUGGUUUCUUCACCACUUUUCAGUCAUGUAUAAAGAAUAUUUAACAGCUGUGUCUUUACUUUUCUAUCUGUUCAGUCAACAGAACAUAGGAAGAUAAUGGGUUUUUGUAUAAUAAGACUGCAUUGUUAUAACAGUUAUUUAGUUUACAUUAACAUAAUAAGCUGCUGAGGAUGACUGAAAAGUACCAGGCAAUUUUUUUUAUUUCUCCAGUGUAAUGGCAUCUAUAUGCAAGUAUUACCUUUGAUUUCAGAUAUUUAGAAAUAGUGUGCUCUACAAAAAUCAGGUUGAUUUGCUGCUUUUCAAAUAUGCCUUGGUACUGAAGUCUUCAAUUUCUUCACAGAGCAGGUAUGGCUAAGCAAUACCUCUUCCUUCCCUAAGUCCAGAAGAUCUGCUGAACUUCUAAGCCUGAGGUUGAAACUGGUCUUUCUUGCCUUACAGACAAAGGAUUUCUGCAGUUAUCCAGUUUUUGGAUCCUACCCAUUUCCUUAGGUCUCGACUACCAAUUCCAUACCCACACUGCUUCUUCUGUCCAGAAGCAAAAAGAAGCCAAGGGGAAGGACAAAGUAGCUCAUAGAUUAAUUGUUAGAAGACUCCCUUUUGCAUAGUAGGAGAUGACUGGAAGAGCUCUGGUAUGGACUUUAAGGUAUAAUACAUACAGGGAAGAAGUUAUUUUGUUCCUCACCAUAGUAACAUGAAUGAAAAUAUGACAAAAUUGACCCUGUUGUAUCACAAAGCUUCAGAUGGCAGUUGUUGAGAAGCCCAAUUAUGAUGUAUUGCUUUCAGAUUGUCAGAGUUUUUCAGCAAAGUAAAGAGAAUACCUUCUUUUGAUAUUGACCACUAAUUUAAAAAUUAAUCAAUCUGCAUAUUAAUCCACGACUGAAUCAAUGCUAGAGUCAUUUGUCGGAAGGAUAGUAUAUUUUGUCAUGACAUUAUUGGUCAGCCAAGUCUGAUAUGUAUACAGUGCUAGCACAAAAAUUAUUUUCCCAAAACAAAUCAAUUCCCUAUGAAAACUGAUAUCUAAAUUACCAUUGCUUUUUGGUAAUGGUAGACAAUUCCAGGAACACAUGUCCAGUUUGGCCCUUGUCAAAGCCUCCUACAGUAAAAUAUAUAAUUCUUCUCUUUUUAUAAUAAGCAGAAAAUAUCAACACGUUCAGGAGACAUUCUGCUUUGUUUGUAGGAACUCAGUGGGAGCCUGUGCCUCAUUUAGACUUUGCCACUGAGUUCUUGCAGCUUGGUUCAGAAACCUGCAAAGGCAAGAUAGUAAGUGCAGAGCAAGAGCUCGGGAGUGAUGUCUCAUGGCCAGCUGCAUUCCAAUUCCCUCAGUGAGUUAAAAAGUGAUUGGUCACAUCCUGCUUCUGGGGAAGAAAAAGACCCUCAGCAGCCAGUACCUGUUUAACUCUGAACUGAAAGAAAACCACCAUUCAGAAGAGUCCAGUUUGGUCUUGCACAUGGAAAUGUCUGUGGUGCAGGACUUCAUUGGGAGCUGUUGUCUUUCAAGGGAAGUGGCUCACAGAGCUUUGUAUUAAAUUUUUUUUUCUAUACUUUAAAUAACAGAUUAAAUAAUAAACCACUUAAUUUUAUUCUAGCAAAGUUUUCUCAAAUAAAAUUAGAAAAAAGUCUUACAUUGUUUUAAAUGGCUUGGUAAUAAAAAUCCCUGAAACUGUUACUCUUAGUGUACAUACUAUUGAUAAGACAAGUUCAGGUUUAUCUUCUUUCCUUGUUUGUUUGGUUUUUGUUUUAACCUUCCUAGAGCUCAUUAAAUGUAUUGAAAUCACAGUCAAACUAGCGAAAAAAUAAUAUGUAAAGCUUAAAAAGUAGCAAAAUUUAAAAAUUAUUGAAAUAGUGUUUGCUACAAAUACCUUCUGCCUUGCUUAAACAUCAAAUUAUUUUUGCAAAUUUGUGUUCAGAGAACAUAUACAACAUAGCAAAUAAACCACCCACAGACUGAAUCAUGUUUUAAAUGCCCACUACUUUAAUAAUUUCCUUCAAGCCAAUUCUACUUCAGUAACUAAAGAACAUAUAACAUAACAGAAGAAAUAAUUGGUUUUAACUUCAAGCGUCAUAUAAAAACAUUUAAUGGAAGAUCUCUAUGUAAACAAAGCUUUCUAUGAGAAAAUGCUCUACUAGACAUUUGUGGUUUCAUGAGCUGUUUACAAGUCAUUCUAUUCUAACACUUUUUAUUUAAAAGUAACAGGAAAUUGUAUUUCAUCAUAAACUUUGUUUCUUUGGGGUUUAAUUAAUUUAAUUAUUUUUAAAUUAUUGUUUUGAUGACAUUUAAUAUACAAAGCAGUCAUUUUGAUUGAAAAGAAAACACUGUUCCUAAUCCAAUAUUCUUGUCCAAAAUAACUCAUGUUUAGAGGGAGACACAGCAAGGAAAAAAAAUAUUAGAUGUUGACUCAAAGAUAUGAGAGCAUUUAACUCAGAAUUGUGGCUUGGAAGAGCCAGAUCAGGCAUGAACAUUCAGUCUUUCUUGGCAGUUACAGUCCAAGUUUUUGUAUACAUCGUAACCAAAACUAAAGCGAACUUUCCAGUUUCUUAAUUAAUAGAAGAUAUACAGAACCAACCUCCCAGCACAGUACGUAUAUUGAAAAAUGUCAUGUGUACUAAUUAAAUUACAGUAUUAAAAAAAAAUAAAACAUCUAUGUGUACCUUCUCAAUCUA